CCUACGGGAGGCAGCAGUGAGGAAUAUUGGUCAAUGGACGCUAGCCUGAACCAGCCAAGUCGCGUGAAGGAUGACUGCCCUAUGGGUUGUAAACUUCUUUUGUAUGGGAAUAAAGUGCAGUAUGUAUACUGCUUUGAAUGUACCUUAUGAAUAAGGAUCGGCUAACUCCGUGCCAGUAGCCGCGGUAAUACGGAGGAUUCGAGCGUUAUCCGGAUUUAUUGGGUUUAAAGGGUGCGUAGGCGGGUUGUUAAGUUAGUUGUGAAAGUCUGCGGCUCAACCGUAAAAUUGCAGUUGAUACUGGUAGCCUAGAGAACAGUAGAGGUAGGCGGAAUGCGUGGUGUAGCGGUGAAAUGCUUAGAUAUCAUGAAGAACACCGAUUGCGAAGGCAGCCUGCUGGACUGUAACUGACGCUGAUGCACGAAAGCGUGGGGAGCAAACAGGAUUAGAUACCCCUGUAGUC
rnacentral:rRNA from 1 species